AUAUAUAUAUAUAUAGGAUUAAUUGUAUAUAGGUCUCUGCGAAAUAUAGUGAAUUACAAAUGUAUUCCGGAUGGUGCAUUCUCUCUUUCUCGUUCUCGCUCGGAACUAAUGUUUUCAAAUAUGUUCCUAUUGAAAAAUUUAGAUAAUUAUCAUAGGUUAAAUAUAUAAUUUUGAUUAGUUUAUGAGAUAGCUUGACAUUUUUACUUUUCUUAUAUUAUACUGUUGUAGUUUUUGAAGGAACUUAUUUGUGAUAGCAAAAAAGAGGAAUAUAUUUAAAAAUAUUUGAACUUUUACAUGAAUAACAUAUGAAAAUUGAAUUUUAUUGUAGGAAUAUAUUUGUAAUUUACUAUAUCUGUAGGGAGAUGUAUACAUUUAACCUAUAUAUAUAUAUAUAUAUAUAUUAUGUU
rnacentral:lncRNA from 1 species